GCGAGUUCAGUUCAACUACACCUACCCGUCGGCGCACACGUGUUCCGGCCAUCAAACGUUCCGGGAUUCAAUUUUAUUUUUCAAACAAUUUUUCUCAAAAUAUUUUUUCUGCGCUCUUUCGUCGCCAAUAUAAAUCGACGAGACGCUCAUCACAUAAUUUUUACAAUAUUUAUAUUAUAUUUCCAUAAUAUUCUAUACACGAUGUGCAGCAGUAUAGGAAAUAGCGUGUCGUUGUGCUCUAAAAUCGAUCGAACGGAGAGCCACCGAAGCUGUCAACCUGGAUUAGACGGUUCAAACAGCCGGCCUAGACCUAUAACGGCUGUACAAAACUGAAGGGAUAACGCUUAUCAAAAUCAAAUCGACUUGCUCGUGUAACACGCGGAUUUCCACUAUACCGGAACUAAAAUGAAGACCUCGACCGACAUUACCAUCAACAGGCCGAAACCAUUGUUUCCAAAACCUAGUUGCUAAAUAACCAUGAUUUAUUAUAUUAAUAAAUCUACUGUAUAUAAUUAAAUAUAAGUACUUUUCUUCCCUUGGUAGUUCGAAAUGGUAGUUUCAAGAACAACCCCUACUACGUUUCAGUUAGGCAAACAAACUAACUUUUUGUAUUUUUUACUCGGUACCUGAAAUAAGUUUGCCUUUCGUACGGGGUUGACUGAAAUGUUACUUACAUUGUGCUACUAUUACUAUCUUUCGUUACAUUUUGUCUGUAAUUAUUUUUAUAUUUAUUUAGAUCUAUUUUGAUAUAUCAUUGAUGUAAAACAAAUAUAAUCAUAAUAAUCGUCACUUAAACAUAUCAUAUUGUAAAUCAGUGUAAAAUAUAUUUUUUAUGUAAACCAUGUUCAUGAAAUUAUAAUGUUUAAUUCAGUUAUACAUAAAUGAGUUUAUAUAAAUGUAUUAAAAAUGAAAUUGUCUAGUAAACAACAUAUGUACGUCACAAUUUUUAUAAAAUUGUAUUAUUUAAAGUUUUAACUAUAAGUAUGAUUAGACUUAAGUCCUGACCAAUAAACUUAGAUGUUCCGACCAUGACUCACCGCAUUUUUUUAUUAUUAUUUUUAUAAAGUCUCUUGAUAGUAAAUUUAUAUUUCUAAUAAUUGUAUAAAUACAAUAUAACUGUAAUUUAAUAUUUUAAUUUUUACAUGUUGUAAAUACACUAAACAUGGAAAUAAUCGAAGAAUUUAAAUUCAUUGCAAUGCAAUCUAAUUUUAUAAAAAUUAAACAGUUAAAUUUGAAAUUAAUAUAUAAUAUUAUGUUGUAUAUUGUAUAACAUAUGCGU